AGAGUUUGAUCCUGGCUCAGAGCGAACGCUGGCGGCAGGCUUAACACAUGCAAGUCGAACGCACCUUCGGGUGAGUGGCAGACGGGUGAGUAACGCGUGGGAACGUGCCCUUCAGUUCGGAAUAACCCAGGGAAACUUGGGCUAAUACCGGAUACGUGCGAGAGCAGAAAGAUUUAUCGCUGAAGGAUCGGCCCGCGUCUGAUUAGCUAGUUGGUGGGGUAAUGGCCCACCAAGGCGACGAUCAGUAGCUGGUCUGAGAGGAUGAUCAGCCACAUUGGGACUGAGACACGGCCCAAACUCCUACGGGAGGCAGCAGUGGGGAAUAUUGGACAAUGGGCGCAAGCCUGAUCCAGCCAUGCCGCGUGAGUGAUGAAGGCCUUAGGGUUGUAAAGCUCUUUCGGCGGGGACGAUAAUGACGGUACCCGCAGAAGAAGCCCCGGCUAACUUCGUGCCAGCAGCCGCGGUAAUACGAAGGGGGCUAGCGUUGUUCGGAAUCACUGGGCGUAAAGGGCGCGUAGGCGGCUUGAUAAGUCGGGGGGUGAAAGCCUGUGGCUCAACCACAGAAUUGCCUUCGAUACUGUCUGGCUUGAGACCGGAAGAGGUAAGUGGAACUGCGAGUGUAGAGGUGAAAUUCGUAGAUAUUCGCAAGAACACCAGUGGCGAAGGCGGCUUACUGGUCCGGUUCUGACGCUGAGGCGCGAAAGCGUGGGGAGCAAACAGGAUUAGAUACCCUAGUAGUCC
rnacentral:rRNA from 1 species